rnacentral:tRNA from 1 species
UUUAAACCCUAAAUAUGGUAAACCUCAUAUUA